rnacentral:rRNA from 1 species
CCAGACUCCUACGGGAGGCAGCAGUGGGGAAUAUUGCACAAUGGGGGAAACCCUGAUGCAGCGACGCCGCGUGAGUGAGGAAGUAUUUCGGUAUGUAAAGCUCUAUCAGCAGGGAAGAAAAUGACGGUACCUGACUAAGAAGCCCCGGCUAACUACGUGCCAGCAGCCGCGGUAAUACGUAGGGGGCAAGCGUUGUCCGGAUUUACUGGGUGUAAAGGGAGCGUAGACGGAAUAGCAAGUCUGAUGUGAAAACCCGGGGCUCAACUCCGGGAGUGCAUUGGAAACUGUUGAUCUAGAGUGUCGGAGAGGCAAGCGGAAUUCCUAGUGUAGCGGUGAAAUGCGUAGAUAUUAGGAGGAACACCAGUGGCGAAGGCGGCUUACUGGACAGUAACUGACGUUGAGGCUCGAAAGCGUGGGGAGCAAACAGGAUUAGAUACCCCUGUA